UUUUUGGUGAAAGUAAAAAGUAGGGUCUGCCCAGUGAGUAAUUUUAACGGCCGCAAUAUUUGUGCGAAGGUAGCAUAAUCAUUUGUCUUUUAAUUGAUGACUGGAAUGAAUGGCUGGACGGGGAUAAGCUGUCUUAUGUAUAUAUAUUUGAAAUUUACUUUUAAGUAAAAAGGCUUAAAUAUUUUAGAGGGACGAGAAGACCCUAUUGAGUUUAAUAGAAUUUAUUUAAAUUUUUCUUAAAUUUUUAUGUAAUCUAUUUAGUUGGGGAGAUUUGAUAUUAUUAACUAUAUAAGAAUUAAUAGACUUUAAGUUUUUAGGAUCCAUAUUUUAUGAGUGUUAAGGUAAAUUACCUUAGGGAUAACAGCGUAAUAUUUUUUUAGAGUUCAAAUCGAUUAAAAUGAUUACGACCUCGAUGUUGGAUUAAGGAACCUAAUUUGGAGAAGAUUUUAAUUUAGGUMGUCU
rnacentral:rRNA from 1 species